rnacentral:tRNA from 1 species
GGACGUAUAGCUCAAGUGGUAAAAGCAGUUGCUUAGCCUGCAUGAGGUCCUGGGUUCAAUCCCUAGUACUUCCU